CCGGAAGACGUUGCAUGAAGUCACGGUAGGGAGACAACAGACGUAGCCCUUCGAGACCCAUUGAGAGUAAAGGGUACUAGAGAGAUAAGAGAUAGAUAAGUAAGAGAUAAAUGCAUAAAUACAUAUAUAGAUAGCCUAGAUAGAUAGAUGGAUAGACAUAUAGAUAGACAGCAUAGAUAUUGACCGAUAUAGAUAUAGACCGAGAGAUAGGGAGACAGACAGACAGAUAGCAUAGCAUAGCAUAGCAUAGCGAGUUAGGUAGGUGGGUAAGUAGGUGUAGAUUUAGAAUGGUGUACAACUGUGUUUGUGCUGGGUGUAAUAACUCUAGCAAAACAGGACACAGGGUCCAUGCCUUUCCGAAGGACAAGGCAACCCUCAGACAGUGGGUACAGUUUGUCCGCGUUAGACGGGCAGAUUUUUCUAUUCCCUCGGUCACAAAGAACUCCAAGGUCUGCAGCGCUCAUUUCACGGAGGAGGAUUACGAGGGGAUGUCAGGAUGGUAUCUCUCGGGUUAAAUAGGCUGGCACAGCUUAUUCCGAACGCCGUGCCUUCUGUGCACACGCAUCUCUCUGCCUGCCCUGCCCCGAGACCGAGAGGCACCAAGAUCAGUGCCGCCAGCCGCAAGCGAGAGCUGGCUAUGGUAAGCCUCAUGCUAAUGUUUACAAGCUGUGCGUUAGCUAGCCCUGUGUGUACUAUAUACCGUAUUCCCUUUGACCCCGCCUCCACUACAGUCAUGACUCAUGAUCAGUCUGACAUUAGAAAAGCACAUUUCGUGAUUCAUGAAUAUGAACCAAAACAAAAUUGUCCUGAAGUAAAUGUCCAAAAGCUUGUCAUAUAGAAAGCGCCAUGGCUAGUGUUUGGAUCACUGGCGCUCAUCAAGCGGCUUUCACAUUGCCCUUUUCCUGAUGGAAAGUGACUAUUACGGUCCUCUUUCAUAUGUAUUUAGACCUGACCGUGUCGCUAAUCUAUUUACGCAAGAUGUUGACAGAUGCCUCACCGUGUGAGACCACGGACAGUGUCAAUGCUGCUACGGUAGAGGACCCCUUGCCCUAAUACACUUGUGACACUGGGACACAGAGUAUUUUGAAGCCCCUUGGAAGGUCUCACGGUAAAUCUUUAUUUCAUACUCUGGGGAUCUCAUAACAUUCUUUUUACUGUAAAUAUGUUUGCUAUAAUUCAUAUGCAGGACAAUUUCACGUGUUUCCACUGGAGAAAAAAAUCGGUCUAUUUGUAUGUCUGCUGUGUGUGUGCCUACCUAUCUUGGUCUCUUGCAGGCUCAAUGGCAGCAGUAAAACUGGAGGGUAUCAUCACAAGGACAUCCUUACUGAAGGAUGUUCGACAGCUGUCUCCGCAGCACCAGACUUACUCCUCUGAAGCCUUCCACUCCCUGAUCCUGCACUUCGCGCCCAAGCACACUGGGUUUCCAUACCAUGGCAUGUAUAGCAGGUUAUGCAACGUCAUUAAUCGAGGCCCUUCGGGAGAGCUACAUCGAUUCACCCAAGGCUCUUCAAGAGGUUCGCGAAAUCCUUCCAACAAAUUCCCAAGGAGGAGGCCGUCAGCCAUCUAGCCCAGCAGUCACGCUACAAAAAAUUGAAUUAGAAUAUUUUUUUCCCAGACAGGUCCAAUCAUUUAGUUGUGAGUAUGUAUGUAUGUGUAAGUAUGUUAUUUUAUUUGGCGGAUGAUUUGAAUGUGCUGUAUGUUUUGUUUUCUCUUUGUGUGCUGUUUAUUGCUUGGGUUUUUUGAUUGUUCCAGGAAGUUUAUUAUAACCCUACAUUUUAACCCCUUAGCUGACCCUAACAUCUCUGUCGACUAACAUUAUCUCUUGGUUAUUUAUGGCUGUAACCCAUUCAUUCCUUUAUCAGCAUCACCAUGGUUACCGCCUCACUGCAUGUCACAUGUUUUGUUUUUAUUGCUUGGGUUUUUUACUUAGUUGUGUGCACAAAUCAUUCCUUUACAGCUCCAUAAUUCAUAAAAAAGAAAUUAAGAAUCCGAAAGGGACCUCUGGGUGCGCUUUUCUCUUGGAUCACUAUGCGUCUGCUCUGUGAUAUCAUUGCAUGUAUGUGUCCGUGAGUGAGUGAGAACCAUCGGCUGACCCUCAGGUAAGAUCACACUAUUGCAAGAUUAUUUUAUGUUGGUUUCUUUGUGCCUAACCCUUUUUUUAAAAGUGAGAUUUGUUUACUUUAUCAGGCCUUUCAACCUGUCCCUUUUUUUCAGUAAUCGAUCCCCAUUACUAGGGAUGAC
ensembl:lncRNA